rnacentral:rRNA from 1 species
CUCUGUGACUCCUACGGGAGGCAGCAGUGGGGAAUAUUGCACAAUGGGCGCAAGCCUGAUGCAGCCAUGCCGCGUGUGUGAAGAAGGCCUUCGGGUUGUAAAGCACUUUCAGUUGUGAGGAAGGUGGUGUCGUUAAUAGCGGCAUCAUUUGACGUUAGCAACAGAAGAAGCACCGGCUAACUCCGUGCCAGCAGCCGCGGUAAUACGGAGGGUGCGAGCGUUAAUCGGAAUUACUGGGCGUAAAGCGCAUGCAGGUGGUUUGUUAAGUCAGAUGUGAAAGCCCGGGGCUCAACCUCGGAACUGCAUUUGAAACUGGCAGACUAGAGUACUGUAGAGGGGGUAGAAUUUCAGGUGUAGUGGUGAAAUGCGUAGAGAUCUGAAGGAAUACCGGUGGCGAAGGCGGCCCCCUGGACAGAUACUGACACUCAGAUGCGAAAGCGUGGGGAGCAAACAGGAUUAGAUACCCUGGUAG